UACAGAGGGUGCAAGCGUUAAUCGGAAUUACUGGGCGUAAAGCGUGCGUAGACGGUUAUUUAAGUCAGGUGUGAAAGCCCGGGGCUCAACCUCGGAAGUGCACUUUGAUACUGCAUAGCUUGAGUGUGGGAGAGGCUAUUAGAAUUCCAGGUGUAGUGGUGAAAUACGUAGAUAUCUGGAGGAAUACCGGAGGCGAAGGCGGAUAGCUGGCCCAACACUGACACUCAGACCCGAAAGUGCGGGGAUCAAACAGG
rnacentral:rRNA from 1 species